rfam:Salmo salar isolate Sally breed double haploid chromosome ssa24, whole genome shotgun sequence.
UGCAUUCACUACUAGAAGUCGCUCUGGAUAAGAGCGUCUGCUAAAUGACUAAAA